rnacentral:rRNA from 1 species
AUUGAACGCUGGCGGCAGGCUUAACACAUGCAAGUCGAGCGAGCGGCGGACGGGUGAGUAAUGUCUGGGAAACUGCCUGAUGUAGGGGGCUAACUACUGGAAACGGUAGCUAAUACCGCAUACCAUCAGAUGUGCCCAGAUGGGAUUAGCUAGUUGGUGGGGUAUUGGCUCACCUAGGCGACGAUCCCUAGCUGGUCUGAGAGGAUGACCAGCCACACUGGAACUGAGACACGGUCCAGACUCCUACGGGAGGCAGCAGUGGGGAAUAUUGCACAAUGGGCGCAAGCCUGAUGCAGCAAUGCCGCGUGUGUGAAGAAGGCCUUCGGGUUGUAAAGCACUUUCAGCGGGGAAGCGUUACUCGCAGAAGAAGCACCGGCUAACUCCGUGCCAGCAGCCGCGGUAAUUC